rnacentral:rRNA from 1 species
GGCAAUAUGAGAGCCUAACUGUCUCUUAUAACAAAUCAAUUAAACUGAUCUCCCAGUACAAAAGCUGGGAUACCCACAUAAGACCAGAAGACCCUGUGAAGCUUUAACUAACCUAUUAAACCUCAUAAUAGCUAGUUUCGGUUGGGGCGACCUUGGAAUAAAAAAGAACUUCCAAAAACAUGACCUUCCUCAUAUAAAAGGCAGACAGGCCACAAUUAGACCCAGAACUUCUGAUAAAUGAACCAAGUUACUCCAGGGAUAACAGCGCUAUCUUCUUUAAGAGCCCAUAUCAAAAAGAAGGUUUACGACCUCGAUGUUGGAUCAGGACAUCCUAGCAAUGCAACAGUUACUAAGGGUUCGUUUGUUCAACGAUUAAUAGUCCUACGUGA